AAACUAAAUUUUUUGAAAACUUAAGAGAAAUGGAAGGUUUGAUACUGUUUAUUUCUUUCUUCAGAACGCACACUGAAGCUGCUCCUUUGGCAAAUGUCCACGCCAUCACCCUGGGUCUUGGAGCAUGCUGUUUCUCCGUUCUCUGUGCUGUGCAGGUAGGGUGGUCAAGCAAUUCUGGACUUGCAAUCCGCAUGCAGUAGGGGAGCAGGAGCAGAUCCUGACUGUUUCUUUUCUUUCAGCUGCGGAUAAAGCCUGCUCUCUAGUGGAUUGACUCCACUAGAAAGUGGAGGAAAGAAAGUGUAAUCUGUGUAUUGAUUUGCAGAAUGCAAAGAUGGGCUUUCCAGUAAUCCUGUGUUCUGGUCUACCUCCGCCUCUUGAGGACCAUCCAGAUGGCAAAGCCUAGCAGGCACUGAGCACUUUCUGAAGUCUUACUCCCACCCUGGCCCCCAGCUCCACAGGGCAGCUCAGAGAUUUUGGCUGUUCUGGAGUCCUGGGCUGUGUGCUGGGCACUGAUUAGAGGUAGGUAUCGGUCCACGUUUGCACACAAAAAGACAGUUUUCCACUGAUUACUCUGUUAAGGAGUCUCAGGAGUGUAGUUCGUUCUAGCAGAAAUGUUACACAUAAUAGACUGGUCCUUUGGCUAUUCUAGUUAUGAAUGGCUCCUCUCAAGUUCAUGGAGUCUGUCUGAUAAAAAACAGAUGAGGAUCUGGUCCACCGUCCUCAUAGAAACAUACCCCUGAUUAGAGCCAGGCGUAUCACUCAUGCUAAAAUAUUUGUUUGACACUUGCAAUUUGCUUGUUACAGAGUUUGAAGUCUCCUCCUGGCAAAUUUCCAAAUGGUGGUAGCAAGGCUGCCUCUAACAGGGUCCAGUUCAAAGCCGGGAACAUCACCAUAACCUUUUCUAUUGACUCACAAGGUUCUGGAAGGGCUUCCAGGCCCCUUGCUCAUGGCAGGGGUCAUGUCCACACUAAACGCUCUGUGGAACUACAGAAAACCUCGAAGUUGUGCUGCUGACAACAGCUACCACGGUCACUGCGGGGAGCCAGGAAUUCAAGGAGCAAAGUCCAUGUAAUCUGCUUGUAUCUGGCUCAACACAAUUUCCAGUUGCUUUAUGCAAAACCAGUCAUUGUUUGCAAUUCAUCAACUACAAAAACAGGAUGGAGAGGCACAGGCAGAAUGAAACGGUUUCCAUCUGCAUGAAAAGGUUGAUUUUUGACAGAUUUCUCCUUUGGACACUAUUUAAAGGAGAGCAGUGGAUACUCCCUGCGUUCCUGCAUACUACAUUUGCACGCUGUCUGCUUCCAAAAGAAUCAAGCUGAAAACAGUAAAAGGAGCUUCUGUCCUGCAGCCUUUUGGCACGGGGAUCCCAUCUGGGCAGCAGGAUUUGGAGCAGCCCACAGGUUUCCUUCUGUCUGCCCUCGGUGGAAGGCACAGAGAGGGAUAUCACAGCACCAGGGUGUGAGGAUGCACCAAGGGAACUCUGUGAUGUGGGUUCACACACAACGAACUAUUGUGCGCUGCAUAAGAUAAUUACAAAUAAUCGGAACUGGCCUAACUGUGGAACCACUUGCUGCAGAAGGCAGGUUGGAAAAUCCAUGGAUUCUAAAGGUCAGAGAAGACUGUGGGACCAUCCUUACUGAUUUUCAAGAUAAAGACAGUUUCAUGAAGUAACACUAACAGUAAUAACCAAAAACAUGUUUUUGGAAAG
ensembl:lncRNA